AGUAACUUGUGACUUAAACUCACCAAAUUGUCAUACACUCAAAAUGUCUUUGAUUUAGAAAUGCUAAUCAUUGUCUUUCUCUCAACAGAACUGGUUAGGUUGAAGAGAGGGCUCCAAGCCUUGACCAAGAGGCCCAUUGUGAUCGCUGCCUUUGUCCACAGCUGGUGCUACUUGACGGUGAGCCUAGUAUCGAUUAGGUCAAGCUCAACAUGCUCAGCCUUCACCAGGGAUUUUUUACUGGACGCAAAUGGAAUAGUUGGAGUCAGAGAGCUGCCCUAUGUCUAUAAAAAUGCACAAAAUAACCUUAUGGAAGAAGGAAGCCCAAAGGCAGAGAAUUCUUCUGAAAUAACCUGAUUCAUAGAUAAAGCUAUAUGAUUCUAAAAGUUUGGGGACCACUAGUUUCCUGGCCUCCAAAUGAUGAAGUUCUCCAGAGCUUGAUAUUUUUCUUUUUUUGUGUUUGUACUCUCCCAGGUGAUCUCACCUAGCCCUAGUGCUCAUGACUCCAAAAUUUAUACAUUCAGCCCAGAUGUCUGCAUUCGUCAUUCUGUUCCAAAUAUCCAUAUUCCCACUUAAUAUCUUCACCUGGAUGUCUAAAAGUACCUCAGACUUAACAUCCAAAUAAGAAUUCUUGAUUGCCACAACCCUCACACCUCCCAUAAAUGGCACCUUGUCCAGACCACACCAGCUAUUCAGCCAAAAAAUUUCACUGAAUAGCUGUAUGAUUUCAAAGCCUGAGAAUUCAACAAUGAACCAAAAUGAAAAGAGUGCUGUCAUGCAGCGUACAUUCUUGGGGAGGGGGAGGGGAAUACAACAAAAAAUUUAGAAGUAAGUAGAUAUCUUGUGUUUAUAUGUAUCCACAUUUAUCUAAGUUGAGCGCUAUUGAGAAAAAUAAGAGGAAUGGAUAGGAAGUGUGGGGUGGUGUGUUUUGUGUUAUCUCUCCUUUCCAGCUUUCAAAAUUUUGUCAUUAGUGUCUCCUCUUUUGUUGUGAUUGUCUUUGUGAGUCCAUGGGCUUAAAAUAAUUCAUUAACUGUCACUUAGUGGAGUUUGAGGAGAGUGCUAAAAGAAACACAUGUGUUCAAUCUUCCAUCUUCACCUAGAAGUUGAAGGGUAUUAAGGGAAAGUCUUUAUGAGAAGAUGAUAUUCAAGCAGAAACCCGAAAGAAGCAAGGAGGUAAGCCAUGUAGAUAUCUAAAAUAAGAGCAGUUCAGAUGGAGGGAGCUGCAAGUGAGAAAGGUCCUAAAGUAGGAGUGUACUUAAUGUGUUCAAGGAACAGCAAGGAGUCGUGUUGCUGAAGUGGAGUUGAGAGGUGGGAUAGAAGGGGAAGGUGGUCAGGAAACAAGAUUGAGAGGUGGCAAGGGACCAGAUCAUUUAUUGGAGGCCAUGGUAAGGAUUUUGAUUUUUAGUCACAACGAAAUGGAAAGGCCUUGGAAGAGUUUAACUAGACAUUAUUAAAAUUAUGUUUUAAAUAAAUCACUCUAGCUUCUGCAUAAUAUCUUGUAGGCAGAUGAAGACAGAAGCAGAAACACCAGUUAGGAGUGUGUAGGCAAGAGAUGAUGAUGACGUGGGCUAGAGUGGUAGCAAUAAAGGUGGUGAGAAGUAGUAGAAGUCCAGAUAUGAUUUGAAGUUAGAGCCAACAGAAUUUUACUGAUGGAUUGUACAACAGAAGUGUCAGGUAUAUUUCAAGGUUUUUGACUUAAACAAAGAGUUAUGAUGUUACUGAAAUGAUGAUGGUUGUAGGUGGAACAGAUAUGGGAGGGGUGCAGGGAGAUAGCAGCUCAGUUAGACAUUAAUUUGAAAUAAAUGCUCAACAACUAAAUGGUGAUGUCAAGUGAUU